CAACGGCCGUACCAUUCUGAAUAUACCGGUUCUCGUUAGAUCACCGAAGUCAAGCAUCAUUCAGUACUUGGGUGGUACUUGGGUCUUGGUACUUGGGUCUUGGUACUUGGGUCUUGGUACUUGGGUGGGUGACCACCUGGGAACACUGCGUGCCGU